GGCGACGUGGCCGAGUGGUUAUGGCGGUGGAUUCAAGUGAAUUGAAUACUUGGCUGUUUGAAACAGCUUCCCACUUCAGUAAUGAGCAGGGGUUCGAAUCCCCUCGUCGUCA